GAAGGUAUAGCUCAGUGGUAGGGUGUGUGCUUAGCAUGCAUGAGGUUCUGGGUUCAAUCCCCAGUACCUCCA
rnacentral:tRNA from 1 species